rnacentral:rRNA from 1 species
CAGUAGCCGCGGGAAUACGGAGGGAGCUAGCGUUGUUCGGAAUUACUGGGCGUAAAGCGCGCGUAGGCGGUUACUCAAGUCAGAGGUGAAAGCCCGGGGCUCAACCCCGGAACUGCCUUUGAAACUAGGUGACUAGAAUCUUGGAGAGGUCAGUGGAAUUCCGAGUGUAGAGGUGAAAUUCGUAGAUAUUCGGAAGAACACCAGUGGCGAAGGCGACUGACUGGACAAGUAUUGACGCUGAGGUGCGAAAGCGUGGGGAGCAAACAGGAUUAGAUACCCGAGUAGUCCCUGUCUCUUAUAC